GGUCUAUAGUGAUCAUUUUGAAGUUGUGUGUCUGUUCCAGUAUCUGAUCCAAAAGAAAAAACUGGAAGCUGAAGAGAGGCGUGUUAAACAGAAAAAAGCUUGGGAAGAUUUCAGGAUAAUGUUAGAAGAUUGCAAGGAGAUGUCACCAUCGUCAAGAUGGAGUAGGGCAAUCUCCAUAUUCGAACAUGAUGAACGUUUUAAAGCUGUUGAGCGAGCUAAAGACCAUGAGCACCUUUCUAAAGAUUAUGUGGAGGAACUUGAGAAAAAGGAGCAUGCAAAGGCAUUGGAGUAGCAGAAGCGCAAUAGAGUGGAGUACUUAGAAUUUUUAAAAUCCUGUGACUUUAUUAAGGUAUUUGUUCUAGUGGAAUUAGCAUCAGUUCCUAGAUUAUGUUUUUCUAUUUCCAGGAGAUAGAACUUCCA